UCACCACUUCAAACAAAUAGCGAAGCUAAGGAGUACAAUGAAAAACCGGUUUUCUAUUUCCCAACAGAUGACUCCAAAGUAUAUUGCCAGUUGCAAAAUGUUCAAUUGUCACCAGUUCAAACAAAUAGCCAAGCUAACGAAUGCCUACAAAAUAACCCGAUCUAUGAAAUAGCCGGUUUUAACUGUUUAGAACCUGAAAACCCAUAUUAUUCAGAUGAUAGCUUAAAAGACCCGUGUUACAUUCAAAAUUCAGAAAGCGACAGCGAG